UACAGAGGAGCCAAGCGUUGUCCGGAUUGACUGGGCGUAAAGCGCACGCAGGCGGAUGCGCGCGUGGGGUGUGAAAUCUGGCCGCUUAACGGCCAGGCGCCAUCCCAUACGGCGCGUCUGGAGUGAUGCAGAGGUCGGUGGAAUUGCCGGUGUAGUGGUGAAAUGCGUAGAGAUCGGGAAGAACAUCGGUGGCGAAAGCGCUCUACUGGACGGUGACUGACACUCAGGGACGAAAGCUAGGGGAGCGAAUGGG
rnacentral:rRNA from 1 species